rnacentral:rRNA from 1 species
GACGAACGCUGGCGGCAUGCCUAACACAUGCAAGUCGAACGAGACCUUCGGGUCUAGUGGCGCACGGGUGCGUAACGCGUGGGAACCUGCCCUUGGGUUCGGAAUAACUCGCCGAAAGGCGUGCUAAUACCGGAUGAUGUCGUAAGACCAAAGAUUUAUCGCCCAGGGAUGAGCCCGCGUAAGAUUAGGUAGUUGGUGAGGUAAAGGCUCACCAAGCCGACGAUUUUUAGCUGGUCUGAGAGGAUGAUCAGCCACACUGGGACUGAGACGCGGUCCAG